rnacentral:rRNA from 1 species
AUUGAACGCUGGCGGCAUGCCUAACACAUGCAAGUCGAGCGGAUGAAGGGAGCUUGCUCCUGGAUUCAGCGGCGGACGGGUGAGUAAUGCCUAGGAAUCUGCCUGGUAGGGGGGGAUAACGUCCGGAAACGGGCGCUAAUACCGCAUACGUCCUGAGGGAGAAAGUGGGGGAUCUUCGGACCUCACGCUAUCAGAUGAGCCUAGGUCGGAUUAGCUAGUUGGUGGGGUAAAGGCCUACCAAGGCGACGAUCCGUAACUGGUCUGAGAGGAUGAUCAGUCACACUGGAACUGAGACACGGUCCAGACUCCUACGGGAGGCAGCAGUGGGGAAUAUUGGACAAUGGGCGAAAGCCUGAUCCAGCCAUGCCGCGUGUGUGAAGAAGGUCUUCGGAUUGUAAAGCACUUUAAGUUGGGAGGAAGGGCAGUAAGUUAAUACCUUGCUGUUUUGACGUUACCAACAGAAUAAGCACCGGCUAACUUCGUG